rnacentral:tRNA from 1 species
GGGGAUGUGGCUCAGUGGUAGAGCUCUUGCCUUGAUGCACAAGACCCUGAGUUCAAUCCCCAGCCCCACCA